GUGGGGAAUCUUAGACAAUGGGGGAAACCCUGAUCUAGUCAUGCCGGGUGAGCGAUGAAGGCCUUAGGGUUGUAAAGCUCUUUCAGAUGGGAAGAUAAUGACGGUACCAUCAGAAGAAGCCCCGGCUAACUCCGUGCCAGCAGCCGCGGUAAUACGGAGGGGGCUAGCGUUGUUCGGAAUUACUGGGCGUAAAGCGCACGUAGGCGGACCAGAAAGUCAGAGGUGAAAUCCCAGGGCUCAACCUUGGAACUGCCUUUGUAACACCUGGUCUGGAGUUCGAGAGAGGUGAGUGGAAUUCCGAGAGUAGAAGUGAAAUUCGUAGAUAUUCGGAGGAACACCAGUAGCGAAGGCGGCUCACUGGCUCGAUACUGACGCUGAGGUGCGAAAGCGUGGGGAGCAAACAGGAUUAGAAACCCCAGUAGUCC
rnacentral:rRNA from 1 species